CAGUAGCCGCGGGAAUACGAGGGGGGCAAGCGUUGUUCGGAAUUAUUGGGCGUAAAGGGUGCGUAGGCGGUUUGAUAAGUCAUCUGUGAAAUCUCUGGGCUCAACCCAGAGUCUGCAGGCGAAACUGUCGAGCUUGAGUAUUGGAGAGGUGAGUGGAAUUUCUGGUGUAGCGGUGAAAUGCGUAGAUAUCGGAAGGAACACCUGUGGCGAAAGCGGCUCACUGGACAAUUACUGACGCUGAUGCACGAAAGCUAGGGGAGCAAACAGGACUAGAGACCCGAGUAGUCCCUGUCUCUUAUAC
rnacentral:rRNA from 1 species